rnacentral:misc_RNA from 1 species
UUUCCGUAGGUGAACCUGCGGAAGGAUCAUUAUUGUAUAACCGAGGUGCGAGGGCUGUCGCUGACCCGAAAGGUCGUGCACGCCCGAGUGCCCUCACACGCAUCCAUCUCACCCCUAUGUGCACCACCGCGUGGGUCCCCCUUUGGCUUGUUCGGAGGGGGGCUUACGUUUUCACACAAACUUUGUAUGCAGUGUAGAAUGUAUUUUUUGUUUUUGCGAUCACGCAAUCAAUACGACUUUCAACAACGGAUCUCUUGGCUCUC